UACGUAGGGGGCAAGCGUUGUCCGGAAUCAUUGGGCGUAAAGAGCGUGUAGGCGGCCCGAUAAGUCCGCUGUGAAAGUCCAGGGCUCAACCCUGGAAUGCCGGUGGAUACUGUCGGGCUCGAAUCCGGAAGAGGUGAGUGGAAUUCCUGGUGUAGCGGUGAAAUGCGCAGAUAUCAGGAGGAACGCCAAUGGCGAAGGCAGCUCACUGGGACGGUAUUGACGCUGAGACGCGAAAGCGUGGGGAGCAAACAGG
rnacentral:rRNA from 1 species